rnacentral:tRNA from 1 species
AGGGUUUCAAAAUCUAGAAUUUAUGGCUAUUGAGGGGUCGAAAGGUGGAAUAACAAGUUCCGCAAGCCCGG